CAUCUCUUUGGUUGUAGUGCUUCAGUUCCAGAUAUAUACUUCUGCAUCCGUUCGACUGUGUCUAUGAUGGCAGGUACUGAUGGAGGUAGUUCAAUGGGAGGUUCGUCCAACAACAUUGCUAAGGUUGAAGAUCAUUUUGGAGGGAUCAUCAUGCAGCCCCUGUGAUGUUCCUGCUGGAGGUAUAGGCACUCCAAGCCGGUUCAGCGACAUUCAGGUAUCAAUGCUUCUUCCUUCAGUGCAAUAGGAUGUGCGUUGUGUCUCCAUGGAAUGCUAGUAAGCACUGUACGUUUCGUUGGUGUGAUGUGGAAUCAACGUGACUUGGAUAGUGAGAUUCGGCUUGACUUCGACGAUCGUACUGGCAGAAUUCAGGCCAGGAUAUGGUAUUGAUUUGAACCCAAGUUUUUCUUCAUUGAGAUAGUAGCUUCUCUGUUGUUUUAAGAUCUUCAAUUCAUUCCUAUUAGGACGCUGGAAUCAGAAUUCAUGCUUUCCGUGAAUACUGCAAAGUAACUGCCUUGUUUGUCUACCGUUUUGUUUUUUCAAGUAUAUUCCUUGUGUACUUUGUCCAAAUGUGAUGCUUAAUUUGCUAUGCACAACACAAAGGAAUGGAGAAUGCAUUGUGAUGAAUGGUAGUAUCAGGGGGGCUAAUGAGGGCAUGCACAUAAGCAUGUACUCCCUCCGUUCGGAAUUACUUGUCUCGGAUAUGGAUGUAUCUAGAACUAAAAUACAUCUAGAUACAUCCAUUUCUGCGACAAGUAAUUCCGAACUGAGGGAGUACUCCGUAAGGUACGUUUGUUCUGGUAAUCUGUGUAAGCUUUGAGCACUUGGGUGCUAAUUUCUCUGACUAUCGUGGAUAUCUUAGCAACCCAGCGAUAUAUAAUUUAUUGACCUAAAUAAGCCACUUCGAAACUUUUCCGAAAAAAGCCACUUCGAAACUUGCUGCUUUGAUUUGUAUUUUGAGUCAUUGACAUAUUUGUUUCCCCGCCUGAUGCUGAAUCCAAGCCAUCAUGAAUAUGCGUUGUAGAACUCAUACGCCUCCUGCUCGGAUUUUUUUUGAAACAACUUGCCAUUUCAUUGAUUAAGCCAACAGCUGGUUCGAAAACAACUGUUUCCCAAGUUUUGAUGCUCCUUCAAUUGCACGCUCUAUAGCACUUCGAUAUGCUUCUAUUGGUGCCCGGAAAGAAUUGCUAGUUCUGUUUCUGUAAAGAAAAACAACAAGGCGGUGCAGCUUGUUAAUAUACUCAGCACAAAAGUCUACAACUCGCGGAUGACUGAAAAGGAUGCUAGUAAGAAUAAAGAGACAUUCGAGAAAUGAUCAUCUUACCACUCGGUUGACUACUGCAAUGCUUCUUACUUCAUUUACCUGUCACCGUGAUUUACGAGAGAGAAAAGUCGGGGCAAAAUGUACCUGAAAAACGAUGCAGAAUUGCAGAUACCGGUAUUAAGGUGAUUACUUCUGCUGUCUUAUCCAUCCAUCGUUUCCCGGCAUGGUCGUGGCGGCAUCGCUGGUCUGCUAUCGUUCUCGUCUUCAACAAGAUCCACGGCGAUUGACGGGUGAUGUGAAGGUAUCUGGCUAUUGGUUCUGGAGAAGAUGGGAUCCAUGGGUGCUUCUCCUAUUGCCACAUCUAUCGCCGAGAACUCUGUAGACAAUGAUCGCAUAUUUUUGGAUGACAUGAAAACUGACACAUUAAGCGGUAUGCAGCUGAAAAACUCACUU